CCUGCCCCAGAGCUAUUGCAGGUGUGGCUGCCUUGUCACGUGUGCAUCAGGAGGUGGCAGAGAGGAGAGAGGCUCUGCUAUACUUAGGGCUCUGACCUAUGAAUGUCUGAAUAAUUAGGAGCCUAACCUU